UCCCUUUGCUAUGCACAUACUCUCACACACACACGUACACACCUGCACAGGGGCUGGGCAGAGGAGCAAAGUUACUGCGUACCCUCCUUAUAUUAAAUAUGGAGCUGACCCCUUCCUCUGCCAGCCUACCUGAUACGCCGCAGCCACAAGUACUUCCCUGUGUCUGAAAAUGCCUCUUGAACCGGGACGGCUCCCAGCAGGCCCAGGACAGGACUCGGAUGCACCGGCACACCCAGGCGAGCAGCAGUCCUGCAUGGAUGUGAGCGAGCAGAGCUGCUCCAGGGAGCUGGGCAGUGGGCUGAGCCAGAAGUGAAGGUGCGCUACAGAGGGCUGUUGGUUCGGCACGCAGCCGUGCUCCAGCCAGAAUGGCACGUCCUGCGCUGGGACACAGUUUGGUGCUGGGGUCCCUCAGCCCUGUAUCAGCUGCCGCUUGUGACCGUCAUCCACAACCACCACAAAGGGGGAAAAGCAGGGGUCUGCGAUUUCUUUUCAUCACAGCUGCCCCAUGAAGCGUU